UUGCCUCUCUGUUCGCAGCACGUUACAUAUUCAAUCUGGAGUACCAGGAGGAGACAGCCGGAACUUUGGACUUCAUUCAAAGGCACUUUGUAGGCAUUAAUCCAAAGAGAGGAACAAAGAAGUUGAAAGGAAAAGUGCCAUCUAAAACAACAGGGGUAAUGAAGAAACAGGUUGAAGUGAACCCACAUGUCGCCACUUUUCUUUGCAAAGUGAAGGAUUAUCAGUGGAAUUUCUGAAAUCCACUCUUUGCAUCCUGGGAUGGAGCCACAUCUGGAGCUGAACUGUUCUCCUUUUUUUGAUCAGAAGUUUUGUUGGACUCACUUGGGGCCCUGAUGUUUGCCCAUGUUGGACUGUUCAUGAAGUGGUGAAAAUUCAUCAGUAUCUUUGUGGUUUAUAGAACCGUUUUAUUAUGAACAUGUUGGUUAACUUGAGGUUUUAAAGUAAUGCAGGGUAAUAUAUGU